rnacentral:rRNA from 15 species
GGAUGCGAUCAUACCAGCACUAACGCACCGGAUCCCAUCAGAACUCCGAAGUUAAGCGUGCUUGGGCGAGAGUAGUACUAGGAUGGGUGACCCCCUGGGAAGUCCUCGUGUUGCAUCCC